rnacentral:rRNA from 1 species
UACAGAGGGGGCAAGCGUUAGUCGGGCUUACUGGGCGUAAAGCGCGCGUCGGCGGUUUGUUUAGUCGGGUGUGAAAGCCCCGGGCUUAACCUGGGAAUUGCAUUCGAUACUGGCAGGCUAGAGUAUGGUAGAGGGAAGUGGAAUUCCGGGUGUAGCGGUGAAAUGCGUAGAUAUCCGGAGGAACACCAGUGGCGAAGGCGGCUUCCUGGACCAAUACUGACGCUGAGGCGCGAAAGCGUGGGGAGCAAACAGG